UAUCUAAUAUAGACAUCGAAGUAAAUAGAAUGGUGCGUUGUCGUGUUAUUGCAUGUAUAAGCGAUAGUGAGAAGAAAAUUGCCGGUGUGUCUUUUCACGCAUGAUCCAGACCUACGUAAUUAAUGGAUCGAAGUGGUAGAAAAGAUUGGAUUCUCACAAUAUAUUGUAAAAUAUGAACAAGCCAAUGAAAAAGUAAGAAAUGUGUUUCGUCAUCAAUAAUCAAUCUGCUUAUAUUUUUUGUAUCUACUAAAUUGAUUAUAAAGACAAAAGAAAAAUCUCA